AGUGAACGCUGGCGGUAGGCCUAACACAUGCAAGUCGAACGGCAGCACAGUAAGAGCUUGCUCUUACGGGUGGCGAGUGGCGGACGGGUGAGGAAUACAUCGGAAUCUACUUUUUCGUGGGGAUAACGUAGGGAAACUUACGCUAAUACCGCAUACGACCUACGGGUGAAAGCAGGGGAUCUUCGGACCCUGCGCGAUUGAAUGAGCCGAUGUCGGAUUAGCUAGUUAGCGGGGUAAAGGCCCACCAAGGCGACGAUCCGUAGCUGGUCUGAGAGGAUGAUCAGCCACACUGGAACUGAGACACGGUCCAGACUCCUACGGGAGGCAGCAGUGGGGAAUAUUGGACAAUGGGCGCAAGCCUGAUCCAGCCAUACCGCGUGGGUGAAGAAGGCCUUCGGGUUGUAAAGCCCUUUUGUUGGGAAAGAAAAGCAGCAGGUUAAUACCCCGCUGUUCUGACGGUACCCAAAGAAUAAGCACCGGCUAACUUCGUG
rnacentral:rRNA from 1 species